rnacentral:lncRNA from 1 species
AAAAAAUCAUAUGUUAUAAAUCGUAUUUAAACAUUAGAUAAGAACAAUAGUAAAAAAAUAUCUAAAACUUUUGAAUAAGCAGUCAUUUAUGUGAUAAACUGAAGAGACCCCCCCCCCCCCAAAAAAAAAAGAAAAGAAAAGAAAACAACAUAAAAAUUUAAAUGAAAAUUGUAAAUUAUAGCAUUUUACAAGAUCUUGUCUUUGUGUGCCAAGUACUAGUACUGUAACAGAGAUAUUAAUCAAAUUGAUUGAUUGUUGUUUGCUUUAAGUCCAGUAGCAAAUAUUUCAUGCCUGUUAAUGACUAUAACACAUAAAUUUUAAAUACAAUAGGUAGGUCGUACAAUAGGUGCAAGAGUUUUUAAUUUGAUUCAUAAAAUCUAGUACCCUGAAGUCGAUCAUCCAUGUUUACGUGUAGUUUACAAUAUCAUUUCACGCA